CAAAUCCCUCGGAUCGAAGGAGUAGUUUCAGCAGAUCGCAGCGAAGAUGCUGCUCUACUGUGCACGACACCUCGAUCCAUACCCAAGUCGUCUGCAAGUGAUUUUGCUCCCCUUUCCACGGCGGAAUGGUAUCCGCGAUCGAGGGCCCGGAGCUCGUACUCUCCGGGUCCAGAGUGCGCGGGAUGCGGCCCUGUCCCUAGCUGGCGCUAGUGCAGGCCUCCCGAGGCCGGGGAGCCGGCGGUAUAUAUAUUGCCGCGUACCGGUUGGGAUUCCGACUUAGAGGCGUUCAGCCGUAAUCCCGCGGAUGGUAGCUUCGCGCCACUGGCCGCUCGACCAAGCGCGUGUACCAACGGUCCGAAUCUGCGGUUCCUCUCGUACUGAGCAGAAUUGCCG